rnacentral:rRNA from 1 species
GAGUUUGAUCAUGGCUCAGGACGAACGCUGGCGGCGUGCUUAACACAUGCAAGUGGUGCGACGAACCAGGGCUUGCCCUGGGGCAAAGCCGCGAACGGGUGAGUAACACGUGAGUAACCUGCCCCGAUGACCGGGACAACCCGAGGAAACUCGGGCUAAUACCGGAUGUGGCGCACAGGCGUAAGCCUGUUCGCUAAAGGAAGCUUCGGCCUCCGCAUUGGAGGGGCUCGCGGCCCAUUAGCUUGUUGGUGGGGUAAUGGCCUACCAAGGCAACGAUGGGUAGCUGGUCUGAGAGGACGAUCAGCCACACUGGGACUGAGACACGGCCCAGACUCCUACGGGAGGCAGCAGUGGGGAAUCUUGCGCAAUGCGCGAAAGCGUGACGCAGCAACGCCGCGU